rnacentral:rRNA from 1 species
GGUUAAGCGACUAAGCGUACACGGUGGAUGCCCUGGCAGUCAGAGGCGAUGAAGGACGUGCUAAUCUGCGAUAAGCGUCGGUAAGGUGAUAUGAACCGUUAUAACCGGCGAUUUCCGAAUGGGGAAACCCAGUGUGUUUCGACACACUAUCAUUAACUGAAUCCAUAGGUUAAUGAGGCGAACCGGGGGAACUGAAACAUCUAAGUACCCCGAGGAAAAGAAAUCAACCGAGAUUCCCCCAGUAGCGGCGAGCGAACGGGGAGCAGCCCAGAGCCUGAAUCAGUGUGUGUGUUAGUGGAAGCGUCUGGAAAGGCGCGCGAUACAGGGUGACAGCCCCGUACACAAAAAUGCACAUGCUGUGAGCUCGAUGAGUAGGGCGGGACACGUGGUAUCCUGUCUGAAUAUGGGGGGACCAUCCUCCAAGGCUAAAUACUCCUGACUGACCGAUAGUGAACCAGUACCGUGAGGGAAAGGCGAAAAGAACCCCGGCGAGGGGAGUGAAAAAGAACCUGAAACCGUGUACGUACAAGCAGUGGGAGCACGCUUCGGCGUGUGACUGCGUACCUUUUGUAUAAUGGGUCAGCGACUUAUAUUCUGUAGCAAGGUUAACCGAAUAGGGGAGCCGAAGGGAAACCGAGUCUUAACUGGGCGUUAAGUUGCAGGGUAUAGACCCGAAACCCGGUGAUCUAGCCAUGGGCAGGUUGAAGGUUGGGUAACACUAACUGGAGGACCGAACCGACUAAUGUUGAAAAAUUAGCGGAUGACUUGUGGCUGGGGGUGAAAGGCCAAUCAAACCGGGAGAUAGCUGGUUCUCCCCGAAAGCUAUUUAGGUAGCGCCUCGUGAAUUCAUCUCCGGGGGUAGAGCACUGUUUCGGCAAGGGGGUCAUCCCGACUUACCAACCCGAUGCAAACUGCGAAUACCGGAGAAUGUUAUCACGGGAGACACACGGCGGGUGCUAACGUCCGUCGUGAAGAGGGAAACAACCCAGACCGCCAGCUAAGGUCCCAAAGUCAUGGUUAAGUGGGAAACGAUGUGGGAAGGCCCAGACAGCCAGGAUGUUGGCUUAGAAGCAGCCAUCAUUUAAAGAAAGCGUAAUAGCUCACUGGUCGAGUCGGCCUGCGCGGAAGAUGUAACGGGGCUAAACCAUGCACCGAAGCUGCGGCAGCGACGCUUAUGCGUUGUUGGGUAGGGGAGCGUUCUGUAAGCCUGUGAAGGUGUGCUGUGAGGCAUGCUGGAGGUAUCAGAAGUGCGAAUGCUGACAUAAGUAACGAUAAAGCGGGUGAAAAGCCCGCUCGCCGGAAGACCAAGGGUUCCUGUCCAACGUUAAUCGGGGCAGGGUGAGUCGACCCCUAAGGCGAGGCCGAAAGGCGUAGUCGAUGGGAAACAGGUUAAUAUUCCUGUACUUGGUGUUACUGCGAAGGGGGGACGGAGAAGGCUAUGUUGGCCGGGCGACGGUUGUCCCGGUUUAAGCGUGUAGGCUGGUUUUCCAGGCAAAUCCGGAAAAUCAAGGCUGAGGCGUGAUGACGAGGCACUACGGUGCUGAAGCAACAAAUGCCCUGCUUCCAGGAAAAGCCUCUAAGCAUCAGGUAACAUCAAAUCGUACCCCAAACCGACACAGGUGGUCAGGUAGAGAAUACCAAGGCGCUUGAGAGAACUCGGGUGAAGGAACUAGGCAAAAUGGUGCCGUAACUUCGGGAGAAGGCACGCUGAUAUGUAGGUGAAGUCCCUUGCGGAUGGAGCUGAAAUCAGUCGAAGAUACCAGCUGGCUGCAACUGUUUAUUAAAAACACAGCACUGUGCAAACACGAAAGUGGACGUAUACGGUGUGACGCCUGCCCGGUGCCGGAAGGUUAAUUGAUGGGGUCAGCGCAAGCGAAGCUCUUGAUCGAAGCCCCGGUAAACGGCGGCCGUAACUAUAACGGUCCUAAGGUAGCGAAAUUCCUUGUCGGGUAAGUUCCGACCUGCACGAAUGGCGUAAUGAUGGCCAGGCUGUCUCCACCCGAGACUCAGUGAAAUUGAACUCGCUGUGAAGAUGCAGUGUACCCGCGGCAAGACGGAAAGACCCCGUGAACCUUUACUAUAGCUUGACACUGAACAUUGAGCCUUGAUGUGUAGGAUAGGUGGGAGGCUUUGAAGUGUGGACGCCAGUCUGCAUGGAGCCGACCUUGAAAUACCACCCUUUAAUGUUUGAUGUUCUAACGUUGACCCGUAAUCCGGGUUGCGGACAGUGUCUGGUGGGUAGUUUGACUGGGGCGGUCUCCUCCUAAAGAGUAACGGAGGAGCACGAAGGUUGGCUAAUCCUGGUCGGACAUCAGGAGGUUAGUGCAAUGGCAUAAGCCAGCUUGACUGCGAGCGUGACGGCGCGAGCAGGUGCGAAAGCAGGUCAUAGUGAUCCGGUGGUUCUGAAUGGAAGGGCCAUCGCUCAACGGAUAAAAGGUACUCCGGGGAUAACAGGCUGAUACCGCCCAAGAGUUCAUAUCGACGGCGGUGUUUGGCACCUCGAUGUCGGCUCAUCACAUCCUGGGGCUGAAGUAGGUCCCAAGGGUAUGGCUGUUCGCCAUUUAAAGUGGUACGCGAGCUGGGUUUAGAACGUCGUGAGACAGUUCGGUCCCUAUCUGCCGUGGGCGCUGGAGAACUGAGGGGGGCUGCUCCUAGUACGAGAGGACCGGAGUGGACGCAUCACUGGUGUUCGGGUUGUCAUGCCAAUGGCACUGCCCGGUAGCUAAAUGCGGAAGAGAUAAGUGCUGAAAGCAUCUAAGCACGAAACUUGCCCCGAGAUGAGUUCUCCCUGACUCCUUGAGAGUCCUGAAGGAACGUUGAAGACGACGACGUUGAUAGGCCGGGUGUGUAAGCGCAGCGAUGCGUUGAGCUAACCGGUACUAAUGAACCGUGAGGCUUAACCUU